GGGGGGAAGAGCUGUUCAUGACUUCUUCCCCCUCAUCUAAGAUGAGGCGAGCUGCCAGGAGGCGAGGAGGCAGAGCUCGGGCCAGAGAUCUCCCACCUGCCGCCGGCAACUCAGCGGUCACUCCCAUCUUUGAGGUGAUUUACAAACGUGAAGGUAGCUUCCCAACUGCCCUGUAAGGGAGCAAGGUCGUAAUUAGCCUGUUUUAUAAAUGGGAGAUGGAGACACAGAUAGGUGUAAGCGCUUUGCCGCAGGCACACUGCGAUUCCUCUGCGAGGCAGACAGCACAGCGGGCUCCACCGGCUCAGAUCACACCUCCACCGGCUCAGCUCACACCCCGGCCGUGGGAGCCUUCCUUUCCUUCCAGGGGAAGACCCCUGCCCCUCAGAGACCAGCACCGUCCUGAGAAAACCAGGGCCAGGUCUCCGGGCCAGGUCUCCGCUAGGACACAGAGUCCACUUUGUCGUUGAUGAAAAGCAUCAUGGGAAGCAGCGGACAAGCAGAUUGUUGUCGGAAGUCUUCCCGAAGUCCCACCAUGUCGUGUCUUCGCGCUUCUGUGGAAUGCCUACCGCACACCAGAAAUGCUGCUGGCUGCUGGGGACCGGAGAGGGGAAACAUCCGCUUGUCGAACUAAUCUGUGGCGUAAAGCAGCGCACGUCUUGUGCAGCGAGUGUUCCCCUGGGAAGCAGGAUGGAUGGAGCGUUCGUCUGUCUCCCCAUUGGCCGCCUGGGAUGGGAGAGCUGAUCUGGUGACAAGCAGCUCCAAUUCCUUCAUCAAAAUGGAAGCAGUUUUCAUUAUUUCUGCUUAAAAAAAAGGAUAAUUGGUCAGCCAGCAUGCUCUCCC
rnacentral:lncRNA from 1 species